GCUUGUGAGUUAAAAGCCUGAAAGCCUAUGAUUCUAGCGCCGGCACCUAGGGAACCCAGGUUAAUGAGACCCAGUUCUCACUAGAGCCCGAAGGGAACAUGUGAUUUGUUCCAGCCAAUCAGAACACCGUGUACUCCAGCCCACUGGCUGGCCAAGAGCAUUCACAAGUUUCAAACCCAGCCAAUUGGGGAACAAUAAAAACCCACACCAGGACCUUGAGAAGUCCUUGCAUGGCAACAACAACAACAACAGCAACAACAACAACAG